AAAUAGGGUCUUCAUGGAUAUGAUGAAGUGAAAUGAGCUUCUACUUGAUUAGGGUGUGCCCCACCUCCAGUGACUGAUGUUCUUAUGAGGAAGCAGGGAUUUGGACACAGAGACACAGAGGAGCCGCUAGAAGCGUCCCACAUGAAGAUGGAGACUGAGAUGGUAAUGACGUGUCUACAUGCCAAGGAGCACCAAGGAUUGCUGGCAACUACCAGAAGCUAGGAAGAGGCAGAGAAGGGUCUUUCCUGGAGUCUUCAGAAGGAGCAUGGCCCGGAGGAUACUUCAGUUUUGAACUUCAUACUUCUACCCUCCAGAACUGUCUUUUAAUCUGUGGGCUUCCACUCAGUCAUCGAUGGAAGAAGAUUUCGGUUGGAGCUGCUUUGGCUUACAAAGUGCUUCCCAGCAGGCACUGGUGGUAAAGAAUCCACUUG